rnacentral:rRNA from 1 species
CCCUUAGAGUUUGAUCCUGGCUCAGAUUGAACGCUGGCGGCAGGCCUAACACAUGCAAGUCGAACGGUAACAGGAAGCAGCUUGCUGCUUUGCUGACGAGGGCGGACGGGUGAGUAAUGUCUGGGAAACUGCCUGAUGGAGGGGGAUAACUACUGGAAACGGUAGCUAAUACCGCAUAACGUCGCAAGACCAAAGAGGGGGACCUUCGGGCCUCUUGCCAUCGGAUGUGCCCAGAUGGGAUUAGCUAGUAGGUGGGGUAACGGCUCACCUAGGCGACGAUCCCUAGCUGGUCUGAGAGGAUGACCAGCCACACUGGAACUGAGACACGGUCCAGACUCCUACGGGAGGCAGCAGUGGGGAAUAUUGCACAAUGGGCGCAAGCCUGAUGCAGCCAUGCCGCGUGUAUGAAGAAGGCCUUCGGGUUGUAAAGUACUUUCAGCGGGGAGGAAGGUGCUGAGGUUAAUAACCUCAGCAAUUGACGUACCCGCAGAAGAAGCACCGGCAACUCUG